rnacentral:rRNA from 1 species
GAUCCUGGCUCAGAAUCAACGCUGGCGGCGUGCCUCAGACAUGCAAGUCGUACGCGAAAGGCCCCUUCGGGGGCCGAGUAGAGUGGCGCACGGGUGAGUAACACGUGGGUAAUCUGCCUUUGGGUGGGGAAUAACAGUCGGAAACGGCUGCUAAUACCGCAUAACGCAGCGGCACCUUCGGGUGACAGUUGUUAAAGCGGGGGACCGGCUUCGGCCGACCUCGCGCCUAAAGAGGAGCCCGCGGCGGAUUAGCUAGUUGGUGGGGUAACGGCCCACCAAGGCACCGAUCCGUAGCCGGCCUGAGAGGGCGGUCGGCCACACUGACACUGACACACGGGUCAGACUCCUACGGGAGGCAGCAGUCGGGAAUUUUGGGCAAUGGGCGCAAGCCUGACCCAGCAACGCCGCGUGAAGGACGAAGCAUCUCGGUGUGUAAACUUCAUAAGAGUGGGAAGAAUAAGCGGGGGUUAACAACCCCCGUGAUGACGGUACCACUUGUAAGCCCCGGCUAACUCCGUGCCAGCAGCCGCGGUAAUACGGGGGGGGCAAGCGUUGUUCGGAUUUACUGGGCGUAAAGGGCGCGUAGGCGGCGCGACGAGUCACUUGUGAAAUCUCCGGGCUUAACCCGGAGCGGCCAAGUGAUACUGUCGUGCUCGAGUGCGGAAGGGGCCACCGGAAUUCUCGGUGUAG